GGCACUGCAAGAAUUUUUGGUGGCAAUCAACUAGAAGCCAACACUGACAGAGUUGUUGGCACAUAUGGAUACAUGGCUCCAGAAUAUGCACUAGAAGGAGUUAUUUCAAUCAAGUCAGAUGUCUACAGCUUUGGAAUCCUAAUGCUAGAGAUCAUAAGUGGUAAAAAGAACAGGGGCUUCUACAACCCAGAGCAUGACCCUAGCCUUCUGUUACAUGCCUGGAAGCUCUGGAAUGAAGGCAAAGGUGAGGAUUUGAUAGACCCGAACAUAGUUCAUUCUUGUCCCAGAAGUGAAGCCUUGAGAUGGAUCCAUAUCGCUUUGUUGUGUGUUCAAGAUGACCC
rnacentral:misc_RNA from 1 species